UCACCGCCCAACCUCCCCGGCCUUUGAGUCUAUUUAACAUUGGUCAGGGAGCGAUUUAGCAGGUUCCUUGGGUCUCUGUUGCUCUGCUGGAGAGGAAAUUCAUUUGCAGGGUAAUUUUUAAAGCCUUUUACAUAAAUUUGAUUCCAGAAAUGAACCUUUUGAUUCCUCAAAGAAGAAAAGGUAGAACUUGAAAGGUGUUAAUUACCUUGCCUAUGAAAUGGGCAAAAUGUGAAUUCUGGCUCUCGGGGCAAAGGGGCAGGACAGAUUAUUGGCACAUCAAGGACCCCUACCUUUUCUACUUUGUGUCUGAGAUGGAUCAAAAGUCAGCAGAGGUGUGGCCUCGACCCCGGAUCAAGUACAUUGCCCCCCUCCGUUUGUUUUCUAAGCCCCCAAACUGCCCAGGCAGAAUCUCCAGCCUUGGUCCCAUCAGCAGCAGAGAACGGCCUGACUGGUGCCCUGGGGGCUCUGCUGUGUCUUCCUGGUGCAGGGCAGGGGCUGCCUAGCCAUGUGGGAGCAGUGCUGAGACACUACAGGCUGGCCCGUGGGGGUUGGGACCUCAGGAGGACAGAGGUGACUUGGCGGCUUUGAGAGAGGACAGAUCAGCAAUAACUGCUGCUGACACAGCCACAGAGCGAGGCUGGUCUGGCGGAGAGCGGACACCACAGCUUCCUUCUCAAACGGGCCCCCUCGUGUCAAUAAGUCUGAGGGAGCCAGAUCUGUUUCUUGCCACAGAGGCGGCAGGAAAUAAAUACACGGCCCUUUGACCACUCCUUCCUUCUUUCUUCGAAAAAAGCCUUCUCUUUUCACCUGCGACGCACGUUGGGAUUUCAAGUACGAAUUCAUCCCACGAGGAAGGAGACGUGCGGCCGGAUGCGGUCUAACAACACAGCGCCGGACCCCAACACAGCGCUGCCAUGGUUCUGACUGUGAAGAGGGAAGCCAGAAGGCAAGUGGACAAGAGGGCGAAGUGGAAAUUCGAAUUGCUGGAGCCUCUGCAUCGGAAACAUUACCUCUCUCCUCGUGAUAGCUUGGACAGGAGCGCGCAGUCCAUGACAAAGAGAGUUGGAUGUGUCUUUGCCGGAGCCUCUCCAAACCUCCCUCCUUUUGCCUCAGGCUGGGUUGGCUUCUUGGACCCUGAGAUCAUUUUCUUUCCUCCUCCGGAGCACUACCCCCGCUCUGAUCAGGAAUCUUACUGUCGUAGCACAUCGUCAGACCCAGGGACCUCUCUCCCUGGCUUGCCCUGCAUUCUACGUCCAGCACCAGCUCGCGUUGGGGUUGUCGUCUGCUCUCUAGAAGCCGCUUGCAUUGUCCCCACUUCCCCGAGCUGUGACUUGGUCGGGACCUGAGUGCCGGAGCCGACAGAGGCAGCCAAUCCCAUCUGUCCACCAGGGAAUGAACAACCAGAGACGUGAAAAGCUCUUCAGCUCCAGAUCAGCACCAAAAAAAAGACUUUCCAUUCUAACCGUACCUCGGUUCCAGAACAGAGUAAAUUCCACCACCCGCCCUGUAGUCAGAAAUGCGUCCUGGGUGCGUAGAAAGUCACCUCGGGACGCAAGAAUUCUUUCUCUUUCUCUCUCUCUCCUUCCCUCCCUUCCUCCCUUCUUUACGGAAAUACUCCUCGAGCACGUGUGAUGAAGAAGAAACUACAGACAAAGGAGGUGGGGAGUGAAGACAGAGGUUUGAGCUCCCCAGUGGGAGACGCGGAAACAUCAGGCAACAGUUACGAAGUGGUGCAUUAAGUGCCUUCAGAGAAGAGACAGAGGAUGCUGGGAGUGUAAGGAAGGGGCGCCUUAUCCAACGGGGCAAUAAAUAAGCAACCGAUGUCAGCGAAGCUUCCUGGGGGAGGAGAUGCUCAAGCCUUAAGAACAGGGCGGGGCAUAGAACGCGAGCAGGGUGCUCUGGGUGCUCUGUAAUUCCGCUCAAUUCUGACACUAUCUAGGGAGAGCAUCUGAUCCUCCACGAGAAGGGCUCAGUCCCACAACGCUGCCCCCACACUUCAGGUGCCCGGCACAGAUCCAGGUGGUCACGUGGUCUUCCGAGGCCAAAGACCCAUUUCUCGAGUUCCUUUCAUUCGCUGGAGUGGCUCACUCAGGGAGAACCCGGGGAGAUACUUUACUUUCUGGGUUACCAGUUUAUUAUGAGAGGGUAUAACUCAGGAACAGACAGAUGUCAGGGAUGCACAGGGCCAGAGACGGGGGAAGGGAACAGAUCUUCACUCUCAUCUCAGAAUGCCACUCUCUUCUGCAUUUCCAUGCGUUCACCGGGUCACCGACCCAGAAGCUCUCCAAACCCUGUCUUGUUUAUUUACUUUUUUUUUAGGGAGGCCUCGUUGUGUCGGCAUGAUUGAUUAGAAUAUUGGCCAUCAGUGACCGAGUCAACCUCUAGCCCCUCUCCCUCCUUGGAGGUUGGGGGUGGGGCCAUAAAUUCCAACCUUCUAAUCACAAGGUUGGCUGCCCAGGUGACCAGUGCCAUUGUGAGGUGCAGUCCCAGAGUAGCCUCAUUGGUAUAAUAAGAGACACCUUUAUCGUUCUCAACAUUGGAAAUGCCGAGCGUUUUGGGAGCUCUGCGCAGAAACGGGGACAAAGACCAAACACGUAUUUCUUAAUUAUAAACCACGUGGUCACAGGUGCAACGCCACUGCUUGGGCGAAGCUGACACAGGGGAAGGGAAAGACCCUUUGCUUCCCGCAGAACCUAACGGGGACCAGCGGGCACCGUGGUUUGCAGAACCCCACCAGGAGCGUCACAAAGCAGAGCAUAGACCGUCGGUGCGCCGCCGAGGGCUAAGAGCUAAAGAAUCGGCCCAACGCUCUGGGUGCCGUGUGGGGAGGGAAUCAAAAGGGUAGGGGAUCCAGCGAGGAAGAGGGCAUCCUUCUCUGGUGAGGACACUGUGGGAGCCCGGGGUCAGGCCAGGAAGAGGAGUAGAGCUGAAAUGAAGAACCGUGGAGGUCCAAUCACCCAGGGGUGCAGCACAGAAGGACGGGUGGGAAGCAAGGUGAGCCGCAGACACCUACUUGGGUAGGAGGGGACAGUGGUGGCACUGUUCCCAGAAUAAGGCAUGUGGGGGAAGAGGCAAAUGAAGAAUUAGGAGAGAAAGAGGGGAAGAAGCAGGCGUUCUUCCUCUGCUUAUCGACUUCUAAGAACGGGAAGGUCACUCCUCUGCAAGACGUCGUUCCGCUGUUGGCGAGAACGGCUAACGACCUUGCCCUUUGGUGAAAGAAACAACCUGCCUUUGCGCAGCUGCUAUGCACAGAUCCUAAUGCUGCCCUCCAGAGCAGCCUAGAAAGUUUAUUUUCUCCCAGACAAAUAUUUGAAAGCAAUAGUUAGCCAAAGGAAUGAGUAAGAGGUACGUUAGGACUCGUAAUUCAACAUAAGAUGCUCGGAGUGUUUGUUUGUUUUGGCCAAAAGCCGCACUAGCUAAGCUCCUGUUAAUAGCAGGCUGUGGCUUGAGGCAGAGAGGGGAGGUGACGGAUGCCUCCAGACCGGGGCUUUCCAGGGACCUCGAUUAACAGGAGGAUACGACGGAGUCAAAUGCCAGCCCCUCGGAGGCCCAUGCUGGGAUAGACAGGGGAGUCUCAAAGGGUCAGCCGACAUAUGCUACUGAGAGGAGGAAGAUGCGAUGGACAGAGUGUGGUCUUAGCCUCAGACAUUCUCUGGUCGAGAAGAGGUGCCUGAUAACGCCUGUGGGGAAACACACCUUCUCGCUGCUGAAAUAUCAGACCAGAGGAGACAUAAAUCCCACCCAUGGCCGCCAUGCAGAGACCGAUGAGGAGCCUUGGGAGGCCCUGAGGGGCCAGAGGAGACCUUGGGAAGAACCCUUGUACCUGUGCCCACGGAAGACGCAAUGAUUGAGAUUGUGGGGGGCAAAAAGGCUGUGGGGACUGAGAGUGAUAAGAAAGAUAGGAUUUCUGAUAAAUCCCUCAUGCUAGUUUACUAGGGCCGCCAUAACAGGUUCCCACAGACGGGGUGGCUUAAGGAACAGAAAUUUGUCUUCUCGUGGUCCUGGAGGUUGGAAGUCUGAGACCAAGGUGUCCGCAGGGUUGGUUCCUUCUGAGGCCCCUCUCUUUGGCUCGUCUUCUCCCCCCGUCCUUCCCUGUGUGUGAGUACCUGCUCUAUCUUUUCUUAAGGGGAGCCAUGUUGGAUUAGGCCCCACCCGAAUGACCUCAUUUCACCUUAAUUAUACCUAUUUAAAGACCUUAUCUUCAAAUACAAUCCCAUUCUGAGAUAUUCGGGGUUCAAACUUCAACAUGCGAAUUUUGGGGAGGGACACAAUUUAGGUAACACGCGUUACUGCUAAUGCUCUUUGGACAGUGCUCAUUCUCAUCUCAAGCCCUGAACACAACGGAUCUAUUAUAACUGAAUAGCACACGUGGUCUGGACCCGUCCCCAAAGCAUCCCUCAUUUGUUUCGAUGACUUCUGAUCACCGUGGCCACGGCAGACCCACAGUAUCCUUCCAGGCUCUGCCUAAAAAUGCAGCCUGAGUUAACAGCUCUCAGUAAGCUGGGAAAUAUUUGUGAAUGAAAUCUAUCAAAACCUAGCAAACUCAUUAUUCAUGCUGUGUCAUAUGGAAUGAUAACCUGUUGUCUCGCUUUUUUUUUCCCGGAAGCCUAUAUAGAUUUUUAAAUUUUGGUCCAGCGGGAGGUAGAUAUUAAUGAUCUUUAGGAGAAAAAGUUAAUAAUUCAAUAUGAUGCAUCAUGGCACUUCUGUACAAAUGUGGAUCUGUCAAUGUUUCAAGAGGUUUAGAGAAGGAAGUGAUGUGACAUGUUCUUUUGCUCGUAGGUCCUCUGAAAAAGGCAAAGGAAGCCUAAUCCAUCAAGAAACCUGCUGAGUUCUUUCUAAAUUUUUCGAAGCAUGAAUACCCAAUAUAGAUAUCUUUAUAUUUUCCCUGUUGGAUUUCUAAUUUUAAAUAGGCAUGAAGACUUGUUUCUUAUAUUGCCGGACCUAUAAAAUUUACACUGAAGCUUGCUAUUAUACUCAAACAUAAAAUAUCAUACAUUUUUUUUUAUCUCACAUGAAAAACCAAAUUCAUCAGAAACUUAUGAAUUCAAGGUUGCCUAAGAGCUUCUGAUUCCUAAGGCUUUUUAAAAGAUUAUAGUUUUACUCCACAUGCCUACAGAGGAGGUUUCGUAUUAUUAAUAAUAAUGGCUAACAUUCAUAAAGUUUUUACUCCGGGCCAGGCACUCUGCUAUGUAUUUUACAUGGCAUCAUUUCAUUGAAUUCUAACUACAUAUUCCCAAAGCUUAGAGAGCUCGCAUAACUUGUCCAAAGUCACGUUAACUAGAAAGUGUGGGAGCUGAGAGUCAAACCCAAGGCUGCUUGUCUCCACAGCCUGACUCUCCCAAUUCCAUGCCACACAACCUCCUGUAUUAUGGGGAGCAGUGGGAUCCAAGAUGGCGGCUAGGAAUCCCUACUCUGUCAGCAGAUAUCGACUGCAUGCACUAUGGGGAGACUCUGUGCUAGAUACUGUUUAUACAAAAAUGGAAAAGAAAUUGCCCUUGCUUUCCAGAAGCUCUGAGCCUAGAAGAGGAAGACAGCCACAUACAGAGUAGACUGGCCCAUGACAUGUUAAAUGACGUAGCAGGAACAGCCCAAAAUAUGUGAGCACAGAGGAAUGUGCAUCUCACUCUGCAGGGGAGGGGGCAGAAGUUUGCAAGAGGUCAUUGACAUUUGCUCUGCGGUUAGAGGUAGGAGUAGGAAUUUGCUAGGCAGAGGAGGUGCCCUCUGAAAGAUGGGGGACUAGGGUUCUGAAAGUGCCCUACUGUGGAGCAGUGAGAAGUUCAGAAGGGAUGUUCAAGAACAACUCUCAGGUUACCAGCUUGGGACGUUUGGUGGAUGGCUGAAAUCAGGCAGAGAAAAAGAAAACAAGUCUAGUGGUGGAGUGUGGAAUUUCUGAGGCUUGCGGUACUUUCAGGGAGAGAUCAAGAAGAAUAAGAAUGCUAGGGGCACGGAUUUGGGCAUCAUCAACAGACAGGGGAUUGUGGGAGCCAAAGUAGUCGAUAAGUCACCCAAGGCUGGGGGGCAUGUAGAACAAGGGACAAGGAUAGCAAAGGUGGAACCCUGGGCAAGAAUGAAAUCUAGGGGCAGUUAGAGAUGGCAGAACUGGACAAGAAGACGGGGAAGACCAUCAUCAAAGAGGUAAGGGGCAUACCAGCAAAGGCUUUGAGACCUAAGAAUGGCCAAUAGUGUUAGAUGCUGCAUAGACCACUGAGGAAGAGGUUGGGAAUAGUCGACUGACCAGUUAUUAGUGUCCCAUUUCAGCAAAAUGGUCCGGGUUGAAGAAGGAAGACAGUGUCUAUGGGGAGACUUGAAUACGUCAAUGAGCCAAGGGGUUGGAAAUGGAGACCCUCGGGUUGAGGUGGUUAGCAAGCAGAGUAAGGUGAGGAACAUGGGGACAGGGCUGAGACCUCUGUCACAGAGAGAGACAGUCUUUGGAGG